rnacentral:rRNA from 1 species
AAAUAGAACUUUGCAGAGAGAGUUAAGAGGGCGUGAAACCGCUAGCUGGUGAACGAGUGGAGCCACGAAGUCGUUUCGUAGAACAAAGUGCACAGAUUCAGUCUAUGUGUUUGCAAAAACGCAUAGAUGCAUUUCUGUUUGUGCUUCUAUGUAUGCGUACACUGCAACCAAUUAGACAAUUAAUUGUGGAAACAGUUAGUUUAUAUAUGCAGCAAUGUAUAUAUAAAUUAAUGAAUUACUUAUAUACUAUCUAUAGGUAGCCUGAUAUAACACUUGUUGCUAUAAUGGGUGUCUGAUAUGAUAGUAUGAGAACUACAAUUAAAUACUGAUUGGCACAAUGAAAAUCCAUUCGCAAGAAUGGUAAUAGAUAAUACUACUCGUGUUGUAUAUGUGUACAAGUAUUUAUUACUAGUGUAAGCUUAGUAGUUUUGAAUUUAGACUAUCUGGCUAUCUUUGGUUUCGGCCUUUGAUGCUUGUUUAGCUUUCUAUCUAAUCGGCUGCUGACUUUACUAAUAAUCUUGUGCUUGCUAUGAUAGCAUAUAUGCAACAAUGGGCAAGUAAUCAUAUUGGCAGUGAGUAGGUCGGCUUUCCACACGACCCGUCUUGAAACACGGACCAAGGAGUCUAAUUAGGCAUCGAGUUGAUCGGUCUUGAUUAGGCCAGAAUGGGAAUUUCGUAUUCCCGAUUGAAAGCAAAGUGAAAUCAAAUUAUGUGAUCCUAAAUCCUCACAAAAGGACUAGGCGCAACAUAUGCCCACUUGUAUGACUAUACGCGCAAGUGUUAGUUAAGUGGAGCAAAGAGAUACUUGACUGGUACCCGAAAGAUGGUGAACUAUGCCUGGGCAAAUUGAAGCCAGAGGAAACUCUGGUGGAGGAUUGUAGCGAUUCUGACGUGCAAAUCGAUCGUCAGACCUGGGUAUAGGGGCGAAAGACUAAUCGAACCAUC